rnacentral:rRNA from 1 species
GGAGGGGUGCAAGCGUUGUUCGGAAUUAUUGGGCGUAAAGAGCGUGCAGGGCGGUCCGGUAAGUCAGAUGUGAAAGCCCUGGGCUCAACCCAGGAAGUGCAUUUGAAACUACCAGACUUGAGUACGGGAGAGGAGGGGGGAAUUCCCGGUGUAGAGGUGAAAUUCGUAGAUAUCGGGAGGAAUACCAGUGGCGAAGGCGCCCCUCUGGACCGAUACUGACGCUGAGACGCGAAAGCGUGGGGAGCAAACAGGAUUAGAUACCCUGGUAGUCCACGCCGUAAACGAUGAGCACUAGGUGUAGCGGGUAUUGACCCCUGCUGUGCCGUAGCUAACGCAUUAAGUGCUCCGCCUGGGGACUACGGUCGCAAGACUA